rnacentral:lncRNA from 1 species
CUCCCGCAGGGAGGAUUCAGGGGAGGCCAGCGGCACUAGACAAGAGGACCUAACAGCACCUCCACUCCAUUCCCCUCCCGACCGCCCUUCACCUCUGGGAGAGGCAGUGUGGCUGCAGGUGGGCUGGGCCUGCCAGGGAGCCGACGCCCUCCCUUCCCCGGACAUGCUCUCAUGCCCACUUCCUGCUUCUUUCCUAGAAGCCCCUGCCGCCCACCCAGCCUCUCUGUCUCCGUCACACACUGGACCCCACUGGCUGAGAAUUUGGGGAGUGAGGAGGACAAGAAUGGGAGAAAGGGGUUCCCUUGUGCCUCCUCCUGGAACUGCCCUCAGCUUUGGCCUCUCUCUACUUCAUCCUCUGAAAACACUGGACCUGGGGGUGAUCCCUGCCCCCCACCCCCCAGCCUCCCCACUUCCCACCUGCCGUGUUGUAGCUAGAACUUCUCUAAGCCUGUAUGUUUAUGUGGAAUAAGUAUCGGGAUUAGGGGGAAAGACAGAGCAACAGCCUGUGGCCCUGGGGUUGGAAAUCUCUAUCAUAGCUGCCACACUGGUUUUUCUAUAAUCACUUGGGGUUUGUACAUUUUUUUGGGGGGAGAGACACAGAUUUUUACACUAAUAUAUGGAUCUAGCUCAAUGCUAUUUUAAUCCCCUGCACUAGGCAGGUAAUAAUAAAGGUUGAGUUUUCCACAGCCGUGAGUGGAUUUCUUUGGGUUUUGGUGAAAUCUGCCUCCUGCACCCUCCCUGGCCCAUUUCUUUUCUUUCUUCCCUUGUUUUUUCCUUCUUCUCCCCAUUCCAUUUCCUACUACGUGUUUUGUCUAGCAGAGUGUUCUGUUUCUGGACAAGUCAGGCCACUGCCUGUGGGGAACCCUGCAGGAGGCCUGGGGGAGCUUAACACUGUCUGACCUAUGGACCCCUCUGGCAGUCUGGAGAGGUCUGUUGAUUCCUCCUCAGAAUUAUGCUUUAAAGCCCAUUAAAAAGUUAUUACAUAUGUAAUCAAAGAAAUCAAUUGAGAAGGUUUAGCAAAAUGUUUUU